rnacentral:rRNA from 1 species
CUACGGAGGGGGUUAGCGUUGUUCGGAAUUACUGGGCGUAAAGCGCACGUAGGCGGAUUGGAAAGUAGGGGGUGAAAUCCCAGGGCUCAACCCUGGAACUGCCUCCUAAACUAUCAGUCUAGAGUUCGAGAGAGGUGAGUGGAAUUCCAAGUGUAGAGGUGAAAUUCGUAGAUAUUUGGAGGAACACCAGUGGCGAAGGCGGCUCACUGGCUCGAUACUGACGCUGAGGUGCGAAAGCAUGGGGAGCAAACAGGAUUAGAUACCCUAGUAGUCC